rnacentral:rRNA from 1 species
AACGAACGCUGGCGGCGUGCCUAACACAUGCAAGUCGAGCGCGAAAAGGGCAACCUGAGUAGAGCGGCGCACGGGUGCGUAACACGUGGGUAAUCUGCCUUGGAGUCGAGGAUAACUUUCCGAAAGGUUAGCUAAUACUCGGUAAGCUUACGGAGACUUCGGUCUUUGUGAGAAAAGUAGGCCUCUAUUUAUAAGCUUACGCUUCGAGAUGAGCCCGCGGCCCAUCAGCUAGUUGGCGGUGUAACGGACCACCAAGGCAACGACGGGUAGCUGGUCUGAGAGGACGAUCAGCCACACUGGAACUGAGACACGGUCCAGACUCCUACGGGAGGCAGCAGUGGGGAAUUUUCCACAAUGGGCGAAAGCCUGAUGGAGCAACGCCGCGUGUGUGAUGAAGGUUUUCGGAUCGUAAAGCACUUUCGACCGGGACGAAAAACCUACUGGCUAACAUCCAGGGCCUGACGGUACCGGGAGAAGAAGCACCGGCUAACUCUGUGCCAGCAGCCGCGG